rnacentral:lncRNA from 1 species
UUUUUGAUCCUCUCUUCUUUUGUUAUUUUUCUUUCCCUAUUUUUGCAUGGACGGAUCCUUUAGGUUUACAGUCCACCAAGAUGCCCUAACUUUUGCUUAAGUAACUUGUUUUCAAGCUUUUGACUUAGCAAGCUUUUUUUUUGCUUUUAAAUUAUUUUUUUGCAUUUCUCAUUUUUCGUGUUGGAACAAAUCUUGUGACCUUUUCUUGCUUGAUUUCUUACAAGGGUCGUGACUGUCUCACUCCUUUUGUUGGUAAGGGAUAACCAUUAUGAAUUUGUGAUUCUAAAUCUCUUAUGAGGGAUAUGAUGUGGUUGAUCCUUUGAUGGGAUACUUCCUUCUUGAAAUUUG